rnacentral:misc_RNA from 1 species
UUAAAUCCCAAGCUAUGUUUGAAGCACAAUUCAAGUAUAAUCUUCAUAACCUAAGCAUCUAUUUAUUGUGACAGGAUAAGCGGAUUUGCCUAAAUACUCUUUAAUCACUUCAGUAACAUCAAAAACUCCACUUGAAAAACAAAAAUAACAUAAUUAACAAAGUCGCCUAACCAGAAUCAUUUGGCAACCAAACAGAGCAGUGACUAGUUCUUAGUUUAGCACUCCAAUUACUUUCCUUGGUUUUCUCAGCAAUCAAAAAGAGGUGUUAAUGGAAAUGGAAAGGAAGAAUUUUGUAACCUGAUUUUAGUCAGAGGAAGAUAUAAUUGGUGCUAAGAGAAUCCAAAUCGAGAUGAGAGAGAGAAUUGGUGGGACCAGAUGGAGUUCGGAGCUCUUUGAUCAACCCAAAGCGGAAAUGAAGAGUGACUGAGGGUAUGAGGAAGAAGUGAAAAUGUGAGUUAUAGGCAAAGCAGAAACAGCGUGAGGGAAGCUGGAAAGGGGAGAGCUGGAUUUGUGAGGGUAGAGGAGAGUAUAGCUAGAGGCAGGGCAGUGUGGAUUCUUGGAUGAGAUGAGAUUGAGAAGAAAGGAAAAGGGAUUAGGCCAUUAAGGAAGAAAAAAUGAAGGAUUAAACCCCUAGAGAGAGAAGAGAGGGGCAGGAGAGAGAAAAAAAAAUUGUUGUUAAA